AAUGAACGUUGGCGGCGUGGAUUAGGCAUGCAAGUCGUACGGACCGUGGUAGCAAUAUUACGGUUAGUGGCGCAAGGGAGAGUAAUACGUAGGUAUUUACCCUGGGGUCUGGGAUAGCGGCGGGAAACUGCCGGUAAUACCAGAUGAUAUCUCCGGAUCAAAGGUGUGAUUCCGCCCUAGCAGAAGCCUGCGGUCUAUCAGAUAUUUGGUAGGGUAACGGCCUACCAAGGCAAAGACGGAUAUGGGGCGUGAGAGCGUGCCCCCACUCACUGGGACUGAGACACUGCCCAGACACCUACGGGUGGCUGCAGUCGAGAAUCUUCGGCAAUGGGCGCAAGCCUGACCGAGCGACGCCGCGUGCGGGAUGAAGGCCUUCGGGUUGUAAACCGCUGUCGAAGGGGAGGAAAUUGUAGUGGGUUCACCCAUUAUAUUGACCGAUCCUUGGAGGAAGGGCCGGCUAAUCUCGUGCCAGCAGCCGCCGUAA
rnacentral:rRNA from 1 species